rnacentral:misc_RNA from 1 species
GCAGCAGCAGUAGCACCACCACCACCACCACCCCCACUUUUAUUACUACCACCACUACCACCAUUACCACCGACUAGAAUCCUCGUCCCACCCCAGAAAGCUUCUCCCUCCCCCAAAAUAUGGUCGGAGGCGGUGACGGUGUUGGUGCUGUUGCUGCUGCUGCUGCUGGUGCUGGUGCUGCUGGUGCUGCUGGUGCUGGUGGCAGCGUUGCGCGGGUGCGCGCGGUGCUGCCUUAACAGCUAGAACGCUGCUGGACGACAGUGGUGCUGACUUUGGAGAGACUCGUCGAGCUGUCGAAGAAAAUCUUGCAAGCUCGUAAGAGCUCCACCGGAUGGCUCGACGUGUACUACUUCAUUGCUAAAAUAAUAAGCCGAGAAAAAGAGAGAGAAAGCACGCACGCGACAAAAAUCAAAAGAAACAGGGACAAUUAGAUGCAUAUUUGCAAACAAGGAAGAAAAUAGAAAAAAGCUCGUCGCUGUCGAGCGAUCUCGAAUGUAUGAGAGAGAGAGAAAGAGUGUGUAUAUGUGUGUGUGUGUGUGUGUGCAUGUGUGUGAGAGAGAGAGAGAGAGAGAGAGUGCCGGUCGAUAACGAGAUCCUUGUGCGAUUUCCUCAUCUAAGAAGAUAGAAGAAUAAAUGUUAAGGGCAAAGAAAGGAGUGUCUCGUCCUGGAUUAAAAGCUUUUAUAGUGUUCCUCGUGAUACCCAGUGCUAAAGUUUGAUUACCUUUAUCAUUGAAAAGAAUAGGAAGAAAAAUAAAAGGGGAGGAAGUAAGAAGUGAGAUAAAAAAAAUCUAGGGAACGUUGUCGAACAACAGAAGGUUGUCCAAGAAGGGAAGAGUCGGUAGGGUCUCUCUCUCUAUCCGUUUCUGGUUCCCAUCGGUUGUUUUUCCAAGCUCUGUCGCAACGACGGCGGUCGAUCCAGAGCUCGAGGAAGCGAGUGGAAGGGAGGAGGCCGAGGCGCAGGAGGAGCAGCAGCAGCAAGAGGAGGAGGAGGAGGAGUUGGCGGUGGUCGUGGUGGAGGAGGAGGAAGAGGAAGAGCUGAUUUCUACGUUCGAACGAGGAAGAUCGUGCUUCGUGCAUCUCCGCUGCGGAUCUCACGAUGACGGAUGGCUGUACGUGCGUUCUUCCCUCCUUUGAAACACGACUGACCAGCGACGGGGACGAACGGAACCACUUCUCUGUACCUUGAUACGAUCUCGUGGGCGUGCGGGGGUGACUGGAGUGAUGGGAUGGGGCCAGAGCCCCAUGGAGUUCGGGUAGACCCGUCUCCGGCCCAGCUCCCCAGCCCCCUCCGCCAUAAAUAUCGCCACUGCUCCUGCCAAAGACGCAGAGGGCCCCCAAGAUCGCGAUGGAGGCCUCUAGCAAUCAACAACUACAACAAAAAGAGAAGGAGUCACGUGUUCACAGGCCUUACGCCUUCGAUAAGAUGGAGGGGCUGGUGCGGGAGAUGCAAGACCCUCAAAACGGGGUACCCGUGCGCAGCCAAAAACAAUUUCUCACCUUGAUCCCCUCAGCGUUCAUGGGUGAGUGCCAUCGGUACUUGCGUUGUGGCAUAAACGUAAGCGGCCAUCACGGCCAAGAGAGUACAGUAGACUGCCUGCGUGUUGCAGGUUACGACCUCGUCGAGUGGCUUAUGGAUCGGCUUUCCAUCGAGGAAUCAGUAGAGGCGCUCCAUAUUGCUAAUCAACUAUGCCAGUAUGGUUACUUCUUCCCGGUGAACGACUCCAAGACGCUUACCGUUAAGGAUGAUAGCUCGCUAUAUAGAUUUCAGUCACCGUAUUAUUGGCCAUGGCAACAUAGAAAUCCUGACAACGUGGAAUACGCUAUUUAUUUGGCUAAACGAACAUUACGGAACAAACAACGGCACGCUCUUGAAGAUUACGAAACCGAAGCAUUAAACAGUCUACGGAAGAACCUGCAAAAUAAAUGGGAUAUUAUACAACUACAGGCUGAGGAACAGGCUCAGGUACGAUUAGCUAAAGACCGGAAGAAGGGGGAUAAGAUAGUAAGCGAUUCACAGGAAAGAGCAUUUUGGAGAGUUUAUCGGCCACCACCUGGUUGUCUUAGCAGUCUUGAAGUAGUUCCAGGACCGACACGUUUUCGUCCAGGACUUCCACGUCCUCCGCCACGUAAACGAACCGUCGCUGAAUUACAACGAGAGGUGGACUUUCUUCGAAACAGUUUAACACGCACGAGAAUCAAGGUUUCAGCUGCUAUAGAAAAUUUGAAGUCAUAUUUUGAAACUUACGUGGAAUACGACCCGAUGUUCGUACAUCCGCUACCUUCGAAUCCGUGGAUCACAGAUGACAGUACAUUCUGGCAGUUGAAUAGUCCAGUAGUGGAAGUCCCCACGGAAAAGCGUGUCAAACGAUGGGAAUUAUCGAUGGAAGAACUCAUGUCUGAUCCAACAGGCUUGCUAGAAUUCACGAAUUAUUUGAGGAAAGAAUACAGUCACGAGAAUAUUCGUUUUUGGUUGGCCGUUAAAGAUUUGAGACACAGUUACCAAGCUCAAAUAACGGAAAAGGUUAACGACAUUUUCAGAGAAUUCCUGGCUCCGGGUGCUCCUUGCGAGAUCAACAUAGAUGGAAAGACAAUGGAAAAGGUCCAUCAAGAGAUGAGAAAUCCCAGCAGAUUUACCUUCGAUUCAGCCGCCGAGCAUGUAUAUACUUUACUUCUGAAGAAGGAUUGUUACCCCAGAUUUAUUCGCUCGGAUCAAUAUCGAAAUCUUUUAGCGGCCGGUGUACAGCCAUUGCAAAAGAAAAGAUUCUUCAGCUUCGGUGGCCAAGCAAAAAAGAAAAUGGCGUCUAGCGCGAGUACAACGACGAGCACGUUGCAACAACAACAACAACAACAACAUGGUGGCAAUCUAGGAAGCAGUGGAGGUGGUACUGGUGGUAGUGCUAGUAGUGGUGUUGGUGGUGUUGGUAGUGGUGGUAGUGGUGCUGGUGGUGGUAGAAGAAGAGGAAGCGAUCGAAGCCUCUCGGGAUCAGCUCACGAACUUGCCGUUUGUGGAGUUCGUGAAAUAAGUUCAACGCCGAGAGUCCCGCAUUCUCAUAGCCAAUCAAAUCUCACCGAAAUUCCAUACAGGGGUGAUCUGGCGCGACUCCUAAAGAUCCCUACGAGGCCUAGUCCACAUAGUAUUCAGGAUGCUGGCGCCACGGAGGCGACGGUUCGCCCUAUGGACGACGUUUGCCCUUGGGACGCGAUUCCAGGGCCAAGUACAGAAGCCGGGCCGGAUGCGGCACCGUUUGGAACGAGCCCGUGGCCUGACACGACCCAGGAAUCCUGGGAAUACGGGAACGACGUUACCAAAACGUCCAUACAUUUUAUCGACGUGGCUCGACCAUCUCGAAAGAAUUCUUCGCAAUUGGAUUCAUGCAGUUCCUCUUCCGAUGUCAGUCUUGCUAUAGCCGAAGUUUCGGACAGGUUGAGAAAGUCCUGCAGUCUUCAGCACAGUGCUGUCCCAAGUGCCAGGAUGGAACGGCAUGGUAUCGGUUCUGGAUCGGGUGGACAUACCAUCACCAGAAAUUAUUCGACUGGUUCAACUAGCAACAGAGUCAAACUCUCGGACAUUGGUCGGCCAUUAGCCACGUCAUGCAACUUACCAUCGCCUCGGGAAUCCUUCGAGUAUAGCCACGCAGCUGGUGAGAAGUUCGAGACGAUAAUAUCCGAGGCAACGAUCGAGGAACCAGAAACAUUAAUUAUAACGACAACGACGACUACUGCAUCGUUAGAAACAACGCAACAAAUGGACAAAGUUGUAACGAUAGAGGAAACAAAAAAAGGUACGAGAAGGUUAUCAACGAAAGCACCGUUGAUAAGCAUCAGUGCGAUCGUCGGCGACUUGCCAAGUGAUUCCGAGGGUGUUGGAACAACGACUGGCGACGUUUGUACGCCAUCCAAAGAAACUUUAAUGGAAAUUGAAUUGGAGGAAGAGAAAGAGAGAAAGGAAAAGGAAAAGGACAAACAAAAGGAAACUGAGAAGGAGGAAGAAGGGCAAACGGAAAAGGAAAAAGAUAAAGAAGAAGAAGAAGAAGAAGAAAGAGGAGGAGGAGAAGGAGAAGGAGAAGAAGCGUUGUUGGAAAAGGACGAUGUUGAAAAAGUAACCAAGGAAGUUGGUGCCGAAACGCAAAAGGAUGAGCCCACUGAGGAAGCUCAGGUUGUUCCUGUUUGGGAGCCGGACACCCAACAGGAAGACCAAACGGCACCAACUACCACCGCUACGACUACCAGCACUGUGCCCACUCGGGAUAAGCGUGACAAUAAUGUUAACGAAGUGUGCCCGUGGGAGGACGAGUAUAAUUUCUCGUAGAGGCGUAGAAUCGAAGACUGAAAUGGAAGACGAGACGCGUUAUAGUUGAAGGGAGAACUGUAGAGUGGAUACAACCUAUGUAAAAACGUAUGCGACAUUAGGUUAUUUGUAACUUAGCGUUAAAAGCGCUCUGAUAUUUGCAUUUUACACUUUAAAAAACACACAUUCGUAAAUCCGAUUAACAAUUUUUCUUCACUUCGCUGAUCUCGAGUGCAUGAACUUUCUCGUGUGGUUUGUUCGAAAUUCGAUAAGAUUUGUCGUUAAAACUGGUUAUCGAAUGAUCAAGAAAAAUGUUUAGAUAUCGGUCAAACAGAUUUGAUGAUCCAUGCACCAUCGGUAAAAUAGAUUCGCGUGAUCUUCGAAUUGUCGUAUUCGAGUUUUAAGAUUCGAAUAAACGUUCGAAUACGUUCGAUCUACGAAUAGAAAUAUGAUUACUAUAUAAACGAUCGUUGAUUAAUUAAUGAUAUUCUUUUUCAAUUAAAAUAAAUUAAUAGAAAUUGAUAUAUGGCCUAAAAUUUUGAUUUAUCGAUACGAUUACCGACCGAGCCAUUACAGCCAUUUUGUUUUUUUCUCUUUUUAAAAUAAGCCGAGGUAUUAUAAUUAAUUUUCAUAUAUUUUCUAUUUAUAAUUAAUGACGAUUAUAUGAAAUAAACGAGAAGUUGUUGUCACGUAAAGCGUAUUAGAAUAUGCAGUAGUGGUGCGUAAUGCAAAAUGUCUCUGUGUCGAAUAAAAAAGAACAAAAAAAAAAAAAGAAGAAAAAUAUUAAUCGAAAAUAAUUUCCAUGAUAUCGUUCGUUAAGCAUCGAAUAAAGCGAUAAAUUAUAUUCGA